CAGAAGGUGGUAUAUUGUAACCGCGCACCCGGCUUUCUCUGCGUGAGUGGUAAGUAUUCUGCACACUUUCAACGUAUAAGGAGUAAGUUGAGAUCUGCACGCCCUGAAGAAAUGGCAGAGUUCCUCCGCCAGAGGGUUGAGCGGGAAACUGUAGCCGAUUCGGAAUGCAUACUCAUAGAAUAUGCAGAACCCGGGCAUGUGCAUGUUGGCAUAAUUUCUCCGGCAGGCGCUAUAU
rnacentral:lncRNA from 1 species